rnacentral:piRNA from 1 species
UGCUUUAGGUCCGCAGGAAUGUGAU